rnacentral:misc_RNA from 1 species
AAAAUUGAGUACAUAAAACCAGUGAUUAUCACAAUCAUCCCUACGUUUGAUUCUUACAGCAAAUUUAUAGUACCAGCACAAAUCCUGAGAUUUGGUAGACAAGAAAUUGAAUUCCAAACAUGAAGGCGGAUUACAGUGGAAGAAAUUGAAGAGGGACUAUGAACCAAUAUACAUGUGCACUCCAACAGCUAACAAGAAGAUACAAAUCAGAGAAAAAUAAAGGAUAGAGUGAACCAGUAUGGAAACUCCACUCGUCUGAAAGUUUCCGAACUCGAUGAAUCGGUGACGACCUGGGAUCUGAAUCAGCAAACCUGGAGUUAAAAUUAUAAAUAGCACCACUGCAACGAACACUGGUCCCCAAUCCGACAUCGUUUGUCUCUUGCAGAUCUGCUAGCUGCGCCUGUAUGAACUCUGAAUUCUCUCUUGUGAUCACUCUCGAUGAGAGAAAUCAAGCGAAAAUGGGAUUGUGACAAAAGAGAUUAUGAAGGUGAAGUAUUGCAGAGAGAAGAGACAAAAAAUGAUGAGUAGGAAAAGCGAAGGUUAGAGGAUGAAGCUAUUCCCAUUCGGAUUAACUUUUUCAUCUCAGAGCACUUGCACAUGCA